UUUUUGAUAAAAAUUGGUUCUAAGCAGCCAGAAAGUCGCUGGUUAUGAUCGAUUUUGACUGUUGGCUUGGAUCCCAGCUAAAACCAAAAGAUGCUUUCUCUCUCUUUUGUGUUUUUGUUAAGUGCGGCAACGUUGGAUGGCAGACAACUCGGGUCUGACACGAUGUGACUGCUGAAAUUGGAAUUACCUUUCAGGGUGGGACGACGACGACGACGACGACGACGUUGUUGUUGUAAUGGAGGCUCUGUUGGUUUCCGGUGAUAAACCUCUGUCACCGGUUAGGUUACGUGAUGGAUGUGCACGUGAAUCGGAUUUGUACGAGGGGAGGGGAUCUCACUGAUCCUAUUGAGUAGACAAGAGUGAAUCACAGCCGUCGACCAAAAAAUAUCUUUCGCAAUAGCCAAGCCUUAAAAGUAGAAGAUUAAUUUGGAUAGGAUCAAGAUACAGAUAAAAGCCCUGAGGGAUAGCUGUCAAAGAUUUGUAGGACCUCUUAUGAAUUAAAAACAAAAAAAUACCUCAAUGUAUUCAUGAAGGGCCUGUUUAGUAUAUUUCGGGG
rnacentral:lncRNA from 1 species